rnacentral:rRNA from 1 species
CCUACGGGGGGCUGCAGUGGGGAAUAUUGCGCAAUGGGCGAAAGCCUGACGCAGCAACGCCGCGUGCGGGAUGACGGCCUUCGGGUUGUAAACCGCUUUCAGCAGGGACGAAGUGAAAAUGACGGUACCUGCAGAAGAAGCACCGGCCAACUACGUGCCAGCAGCCGCGGUGAUACGUAGGGUGCGAGCGUUGUCCGGAAUUAUUGGGCGUAAAGAGCUUGUAGGCGGUCUGUCGCGUCGAAAGUGAAAACUCAGGGCUCAACCCUGAGCCUGCUCUCGAUACGGGCAGACUAGAGGAAGGUAGGGGAGAACGGAAUUCUUGGUGGAGCGGUGGAAUGCGCAGAUAUCAGGAAGAACACCGGUGGCGAAGGCGGUUCUCUGGACCUUUCCUGACGCUGAGAAGCGAAAGCGUGGGGAGCAAACAGGCUUAGAUACCCCGGUAGUC